AUAUUUGUUUUACUGAUGAUAAGCAUAAUGUAAAAAGUAUUUAUGGGUUUCUGGACUGGGUGUUUAAAUGCAGCGGCCCUACAGACUACGACAGCUGCAACGGGUGUAUGAUACGUCUCCGGGGCACUAGGGGGGCCACCCCCUUGUUGCCCCCCUAAAUGUGGAGUAUGAAAUAAUUUUUACAUAACACAUUUUUGCUAUUGUUCUUUUUUUACAUCCAUUAUUAGACAGUGGCAACGCGGAACACUAAUUUAACCCACACAUUUUCUAGAGGGAAGGCUUUAGGCGGAAAACAACAGUAUCGUAUCACAUGCAUCUGCAUUAUGAACACGGUCUUUUGCCUGCUAAUGCCUGCAAUGCAGUGAAGAAAACGAUAUGACAACAAUAACGUCUAAUGUAACUGGCCCCUCUAACAGUACAACUGGCCCCAGCUUGGCCCCCCAAGUUGAAAUGGUCUAGAACCGCCACUGCUCCAGGGACUUCCAUUGGCUGCAGUAAGGAGGAAAUAGUGAAGUAGUGAAAUAGUAAAAGUGUCUAUGAACAAAGUGUUACAAUUUUGAAUGCAAAAACCACCAGGCCUAAUGAUGGAUUAGAUGUUCCAGCACAAGAGGUUGGUGGCACCUUAAAGGGGAAUGGAAACACUUUAGGAAGUAAAUCUAAGCAAAGAGAUGCAUUCAAUCCAAUAAUACUAAACAUGUGCAUUUAACACAAAAACAUCUCUAUAUUUAGUAUUUUGAUCGCGGACAAGGUUUAUUUGAGCUAUGGUCAGCGCCAUUUUAAAUUGCCAUAGUAACGACUGACGACUGGUCUGGUAGAGAAUGGGAGGUUAGGGGCGGGCAACAGCGAGUAGCGAUUCAAUCAUGAACUGUAUAGCGCCAGGCUGUAGGAAUUGACUCAAAAAAAAAAAAUCCCUCGGUAAACUACCAUCGGCUGCCCAAGGACCUACAACUUUUGAAGAAGUGGCUCCAUGUCCUGAAGAGGAAGGAUGUGCCACCUCGAGCUAUCAGGAUCUGCAGACAGCAUUUUGUGGAGGCAGACUUCGCGAUGAAGGGCACUUUCGAUGCGGCAACCGGGAGCUUCCGAAUGGAAAGGAGUCAAAGGCCUACAUUGAAGUCCUUUCUGCUUGCAGAACUCCAUUUGACAUUUCGAGGGUUAUGGUGUAGCGACCGACCAUCAUCAACAUCGCUUACCCGUUAUUGGGAAAGAACAGUUAGUACAGCAUGCCAAACUGACCCCUGGGUGCCAGAGUGUUCCUGUGCUGCGGUGGAGAAGAGGUCCACCGGGACCAGGGCCCAGCUAGAUUGCGCUCACGACCAUCAGUAUACAACCGAGUCCUGCCCCGAUACGCCCCAGAUGGAGCUGAUGGAGAAUGAGAUCAGUGAAGACCAGAACUCGCUGUAUGAACCUGAGAGCUCAAUCACAAUCAUCACAGUGCGAGCCGAGAUAUACUAUCGAUCACUUUGGGGGAGCGGGAUGGUGUUCCAAAAAUGGAGAAGGAGCAGGCCAUUCAACAGCAAAUUCAAAGAUACACCCAUCCAUAAAAGGAAUCAGAGUGAAAUUGUUUUUCCACUGUUUUUUUUUUAACCAGUUUCAA